GUGAAGUGUCUAUGAGCUGGGGAUCUCAUUUGCAUAGAUGGGCCCUCCCUCUGUCAGAGGAUGAAAAGGGGAAGGAGCAGAUUAGGGGAGGCUCUGUUCAGCUGUGGGGCCACAGAAGGCUGGAUCGGUGAUGAUCUCCACCAUGGCCUGGUCCCCUCUCCUCCUCACCCUCCUUGCUCACUGCACAGGGUCCUGGGCCCAGUCUAUGCUGACUCAGCCGCCAUCCGUGUCUGGGGCCCUGGGCCAGACGGUCACCAUCUCUUGCAGUGGAAGCACCAACAGCAUCGGUAUUUAUGGUGUGAACUGGUACCAACAGCUCCCAGGAGAGGCCCCUAAACUCCUCAUCUAUGGCAAUAGCAAUCGACCCUCGGGGAUCCCAGAUCGAUUUUCUGGCUCCAAGUCUGGCAGCACAGGCUCCUUGACCAUCACUGGGCUCCAGGCUGAGGACGAGGCAGAUUAUUACUGCCAGACCAUUCACUUAACUGUCAGUGAUUACACAAUGUUCCAGGCUCAUGGGGAAGUGAGACAAAAACCUGCUGUCCCCACAGAAAUGGGACUUCCUGUGUAGCCCUGACAUUUUGGCCCCAUCAGCUGUUUGUUUGAUAUCAACUGAGGUUUGUCACCUGCCUCAAAGAAUUUGUCUACAAAUCUUUCCACAUUCUCUUAAAUUUCUCCUUGAAGCCUGUCCUGGAGAGCAAGAUAUUUUCUAAUUUUCUCAAACUGAGCACAAAUUCCUGGGUGCCAGAAACAGGCCACCCUGAGGACAGUGACCAUGUCACGUUAGGGCAGAAACAGGGUCACAAAAUCCAGAGUAUCUAUGGCUGAUUCGUACAUGUGGGUCUUUUGAAAUGAAUCCCUGUCCAUUCCCAUCAGUGCUGAGAUCCAACCAGUGAUUUUUGUUA